GGGACAGAUAUCCCAAGGCAUCUGAGGACCAGCUGUUACUGGUGUAUUCAUUAGUAUGGACUGAGUUCUGGGAGUUAAGGGCUGUUUUUUCCCUCGGGAACCAGCUUGUUCCGUAGAGAAGGAGGAGAUUGGCUACGGUUGGCUGGUGGGAGGUGGCCAAAUCUGGCAGCACCGGAUGUUAUCAAGUGGACUCGCCUUUGGUUCCUCUGCGCGUUCAGUUUGCUCCUGCCUUUGACCUUGCCGAUGUAAGCCUGGAGCCCCUGGAGCCCCUGGAGCCCCUGGGGCUUGUGCUGGUAUCCUGGGGCUUUGGCCUCCGGGGGCCCUGGGCAUCCUGGAAGGCGAAAGAGGCCCCCACGACCCACAGAUUGCUGUGGUUGAGACUGAUGGAGGCAGGACACCGCCGACAGGCUGUUCCGGAGCUCCCCAUGCAGUUGGCUCAAGCUGUGGGACCUGCAUCGUAGCGUGACUCCUCCUUUUGCCCAAUUCUGCUUUGUCCUUUUCACAGGCGUUGAUCCAAAGGGUGCUCCCUAAUGAACACUGUGAACACUGAACUUUA